UUCCUCCUCAGACCAAGAUGACUGAUGGAAACCUGUCCACCUCUACAAAUGGCAUAGCCUUGAUGGGUGUUCUGGGUGGUCGGCCGGGAAACCACAUUCAGAACCUGCAGCACUUGACUCUCAAGGCCCCCCGAUCCCUCUCGUUGCCAGAGUAUGGGCCCAGGCUGAAGCUUGGUCCUGUAGACGAUCAGCACAGCCUCAAGUCUGUGGACUCCGGCAUUCCCACCCUCGAGAUCAGUAACCCGGAACCCGUCCCCUGCAGCACGGUCCACGUGAAGAGGAAGCCGUCGGAGCCGGAGAUCGUCCCUGAGCGAGCUUGCCAGAGUGCUUGCCCACUGCCAUCCUACACGCCUCCGGCUACUGGCGGUGCCGAGUGGGAGCAGAGCGUGCGGAAGUCGUCCACAUUCCCCAGGACGGGCUAUGACUCAGUGAAGCUCUAUAGCCCCGCCUCCAAAGCCCUGAGCCGCAGUGAUGAUGUGUCCGUGUGCAGCGUGUCCAGUCUUGGCACGGAGCUAUCAACCACGCUGUCCGUCAGCAAUGAGGACAUUUUGGACCUCGUGGUCACGAGCAGCUCCAGUGCCAUCGUGACCCUGGAGAGCGACGAUGACCCGCAGUUCACGGAUGUCACCUUGAGCUCUGUCAAGGAAACCCGUGAGCUGCGCCAGCAGGACUGUGCGGAUGGAACCGAGGAUGGGAGUAAACUGAAAAUUUUGGGACCACUUAGCAGCUUCUUUACCAGGAAUUUGCUUGCUAGAAAACAGAAUGCAAGACUUGACAAACAAAAUGACUUGGGAUGGAAGUUAUUUGGAAAAGUACCACUUCGAGAGAAUGCUCAGAAAGAUUCAAAGAAAAUACAAAAGGAAUAUGAAGACAAGGCUGGACGACCUAGCAAGCCACCCUCUCCAAAGCAGAAUGUGAGGAAGAAUCUUGAUUUUGAGCCACUGUCCACUACCGCUCUCAUCCUGGAAGACAGACCAGCAAAUCUCCCAGCGAAGCCAGCUGAAGAAGCCCAGAAACACAGGCAGCAGUACGAGGAAAUGGUGGUUCAGGCCAAGAAACGAGAGCUGAAGGAGGCCCAGCGGAGGAGAAGGCAGCUGGAGGAGAGGUGCCGCCUGGAGGAGAGCAUCGGCAACGCCGUCCUCACCUGGAACAACGAGAUUUUGCCUAACUGGGAAACAAUGUGGUGCUCUAGGAAAGUUCGAGAUCUCUGGUGGCAGGGGAUCCCUCCCAGUGUGAGAGGCAAAGUCUGGAGCUUAGCCAUUGGCAAUGAGUUAAACAUCACCCAUGAGCUCUUUGACAUCUGUCUUGCCCGAGCCAAGGAGAGGUGGCGGUCCUUCAGCACAGGAGGCUCUGAGGCGGAGAACGAAGAUGCCGGGUUUUCCGCCGCAGACCGAGAAGCCAGCUUGGAGCUUAUUAAACUGGACAUCUCUAGGACCUUUCCUAAUCUCUGCAUUUUUCAGCAGGGUGGUCCGUAUCAUGACAUGUUGCACAGUAUUUUGGGCGCUUAUACUUGUUACCGACCGGAUGUGGGUUAUGUCCAGGGCAUGUCAUUUAUUGCGGCUGUGCUGAUCUUGAACCUAGAUACUGCAGAUGCCUUCAUUGCUUUUUCUAAUCUUUUGAAUAAACCCUGCCAGAUGGCGUUUUUCCGAGUGGACCAUGGCCUUAUGUUGACCUAUUUUGCUGCAUUUGAGGUAUUCUUUGAAGAAAAUUUGCCGAAAUUAUUUGCUCAUUUCAAGAAAAACAACUUAACUCCAGACAUCUACCUAAUUGAUUGGUAGCCUGGCUAAGCAGCCUCCCCGAGGAAUUCGUUACUCCAGCUGCCUUCUGAGAAAAUGGCCCUCUCUAAAUAAAGUUCUUCUUGGACUGGACCCGAGGAGCCUGGGUUUGAGGCUUGGCUCUGCUGCACAGGGUCUGGGACAGUCCUUUGGUCCCUGAGAGUCUGUCAGACGGAGGGUGGAUAACAGAAGCCUCCUGCCCAUUCCGAGGGCGGUCUGGGGCCUGGGUGGUGGGAUUGUCUCCCAUCGCUGGUAAACAGGAGGUGGGUGGGGGACAGGAGGGCUGAGGGAUGGUUCCCCUGGGACGGGUCACGCUGGCCCUCUGGUGGCUGAGUCAGGCGAGUCCAGCCUGGACCUCCUUCUGGAUUUCUCUAGGCCCUUCUGGGUGUCCUGCCUAGCUUGGCCUUGGCCCCUGUGGGACUGGCCAGUGUUAGCCGGCUCCGAGUGCUGAUAGCGCCCGAAAGGAAAAAUAAAGCCUUGCUUCCUGACCCUCUGUCGGCUCCUAGCUUGCCCAAGCAACAGAUCAUGGUUGGAGACUAUCUGUGGAGGUGCUGACCGCCUUACAGAAGGACAGCCGUGACACAGAGAAAGGCAGCCCGUCUCUCAGACACUGAGCUCUCGGCGCUGGAGCAGAUCUCCAGGUGGUGCCUGCGUUUCUGAUGGACACAUUGACAGCCAAGACGAACAGGCUCUUUGCACGUUUGAUCCUAACCCUGGAGUUGGCCUUAAAACAAAACAAACAACUUUUAAAGAACUCAGCCAAGGCUUAGCCUUAAGCAGCUCAGUGGGGCGAUGAGCCAGUGUUGAUCGCGGCCAACGCUGCAUAUUCUGCAUGGUGUAAAAAUGAGAUGGUGGCUAACCCCCCCCCCCCCCCGAUUUCACAAGUUAAUUAAAUCGUCACGCUCUUAUGUCAACUGGCGGGAAUACAUCACAGUCUUCCUUAGCCGAGGUGCGGGAGGCCUCGGAGGCGUUCCUGGCUACUGACCUGCUUGAGCGAGGAAGGACUUGUGGAGCUAGUUAACCGAGAGUCCCGUUCCAGGGCUGGAGGGCCUGCUUUUAAAGCCCACCUACCAAAGACAGCAGGAAAGGAAAGCAGGCUCUCACAGGUGGUCACCCAGCGUGCCUGUGGGCAGCCUGGGACUUGACCUGACUUUUCAGGUUGGCCUUUCUCCACUGUCACCUUGACAGAAUCACAGCAUGAGGGCUGAAAAGGGCCACUUGGGUUCUGGGGAACCCCUGCUCUCCCCCGCAAGAUUGUUCCCUCCAUCUGAGCAGGAAGGGCUGCUCACCCAGGAGGCCCGAGACCGCCUUCAGCCCCACACCUCCUGUGUUCAGAGGCCGGGCUGGCGGGGGCAGCCUGCGCCCUUGCUCCCCCAGAACGCUGCUCUUCCCUGUGUCCCCCGAGCAGCAGGAUCAUCCCGAGUACCAGCGCUUCCCUCCUUGUGCGUCUGGCUGAAAGCUACAGUGUUGUGAGGGCUGAGGCAUGGACCCACGCAGAUGGCCUUGCAGGGGCUCCCGAUGUUUGUCCCAUCGGCCUCUCCCCACAUAGGUGGUACCCCCCACAACCAAGUUCAUCAGCAACUUUCCCACUGGAACCCCUCCUUAACUAAGAAUUUUGUUAAAAGCGCUUUGGUCAUGGUCAUGCACAUUCGAAGACGGGAAUGGUUUUCACACAGAAGAACCCAGAGGACAGGCAGGUCUGUGGAGACAGGUCCUCGCGCGGACCCGGCUGUGUGCUGGUGUCCAUGAGGGCUUGAGAGACUGGGUCCGAGGGCUCCGCUGCCCCCUCAGCCACACUCCGGCCGGCUGCCCUUGGUGCGGCCCUGGGGAGCGCCCUGGGCUCCGAGAGCAGGCUUGCCACAAGGCGGCCUGGCUCUCCGGGGCCUUUUCUGUCUGCCAUGUUCACGGCCAGCAUGGGCAGGAGCAGGGGCAGGGGGCCGCACCAUGGCCAUGGGUCCCGUUUCCUGGGGCAGUUGCCUUCAUCCCCUGUCUUCUUAACUGAAGUCUCCAGGGAGGUUGCGGAGCGUCUCAGACCCACUCUCCACCUCAGCCUGGAAGUGCUGGCCUGGCUGUCCUCUCGGGGGAAGCGUCCCGUCUUCACUGAGGGCUCACACUUCCAGACGUAGCCCACCGUCCACCAUGCUGCUGAUUGUCACCUUGCACCAUGCUGCUGAUUGUCACCUUGCCGGCCCCGGGCCUCCGCCCACAAAGGCCGAGUGUCGCUCCUAGAUGUGAGCUUUCUGUUCUGAAAGGUGUAUAUAUUUUCUUACUGUACAUACAGAUGUUCCUCGGUCGGGACAGGAAGCACCGCCGCUGCAGGGCGUGCUUGCCACUCGUCUGCGCCUUCAGACCCAGCCCUCAACCUCCUCCGUGGGACAGGCUGACGUCCGUCUCUCGGGACUCAUGGCACCACAUAGGCAUUACAUUUUUAAACGGGUUCCGAGCUGAUGCAGAAUACUUAACCAAAUCUCUAGCUCACAGAGGUUUCUGUGGCCCAUUCAGGGGCUGCCUGGGGCCUGCCCCAGAGGCCGGGAGCUUGGGCUGUGUGGCCCAUCUGUGGGGUCAGGCUGCUCUGUCGGAUGCCAUCCUUUAGGAAAACGGGGAGCCCCCUGGAAGGCUGCACCCCCUGCGCGUCUGCACUUUCCCGGCCCAGCUGCCGGCUGUCCAGAUCUGAAACUUGGGGUUUGGCCCCUUGUGCGUCUGGCCCUUUAGAGUCGAAAGCCGUGUCCCCACCUAUCCCUGAAAGCCCAUCUAGAAGCAAUGUUCACUUUCAAAGGUACUUUUUAACCGCUCAGUUUUUGACUAUUUGAACAGUUUGCUGAUAGAAACGUCCUGAUAAUACUUGCUACCAUGUUUUAACUGCUUGUACAGUUAACCUUUAAUUUUAUUUAGUAAAGUCUAUCAAAUUAAGACUUUUUGAAUUGUAAAUAAUGUGGUUUUAUUAAAUAAAAGUCAUGUAAAAUUGUUA